AUUGAACGCUGGCGGCAGGCCUAACACAUGCAAGUCGAGCGGAUGAAGAGAGCUUGCUCUCUGAUUCAGCGGCGGACGGGUGAGUAAUGCCUAGGAAUCUGCCUAUUAGUGGGGGACAACGUUUCGAAAGGAACGCUAAUACCGCAUACGUCCUACGGGAGAAAGCAGGGGACCUUCGGGCCUUGCGCUAAUAGAUGAGCCUAGGUCGGAUUAGCUAGUUGGUGAGGUAAAGGCUCACCAAGGCGACGAUCCGUAACUGGUCUGAGAGGAUGAUCAGUCACACUGAAACUGAGACACGGUCCAGACUCCUACGGGAGGCAGCAGUGGGGAAUAUUGGACAAUGGGCGAAAGCCUGAUCCAGCCAUGCCGCGUGUGUGAAGAAGGUCUUCGGAUUGUAAAGCACUUUAAGUUGGGAGGAAGGGCAGUAAGUUAAUACCUUGCU
rnacentral:rRNA from 2 species